rnacentral:rRNA from 1 species
UGGGGAAUAUUGCACAAUGGGGGAAACCCUGAUGCAGCGACGCCGCGUGAGCGAUGAAGGCUUUCGAGUCGUAAAGCUCUGUCCUAUGGGAAGAUAAUGACGGUACCAUAGAAGAAAGCCCCGGCUAAUUACGUGCCAGCAGCCGCGGUAAUACGUAAGGGGCGAGCGUUGUCCGGAAUUAUUGGGUGUAAAGAGUGCGUAGGCGGCAAAUUAAGUCAGAUGUGAAAACUAAGGGCUCAACCCAUAGAUUGCAUCUGAAACUGAUAUGCUUGAGUCAAGGAGAGGAAAGUGGAAUUCCUAGUGUAGCGGUGGAAUGCGUAGAUAUUAGGAGGAAUACCGGUGGCGAAGGCGACUUUCUGGACUUGAACUGACGCUGAGGCACGAAAGCGUGGGGAGCAAACAGG